rnacentral:rRNA from 1 species
AUACGAAGGGGGCAAGCGUUGUUCGGAAUAACUGGGCGUAAAGCGCACGUAGGCGGAAUGUUAAGUUAGAGGUGAAAUCCCAGGGCUCAACCCUGGAACUGCCUUUAAUACUGGCAAUCUAGAGACCGAGAGAGGUGAGUGGAAUUCCAAGUGUAGAGGUGAAAUUCGUAGAUAUUUGGAGGAACACCAGUGGCGAAGGCGGCUCACUGGCUCGAUACUGACGCUGAGGUGCGAAAGCGUGGGGAGCAAACAGGAUUAGAUACCCGGGUAGUCC